rnacentral:lncRNA from 1 species
UGGAUGGAUAUGCUAUGCUUUAAGAGGCAAACACUAGUAUUUUAUAGGAGUCUAUGCAUGAAGUCAAAGCCACAGAACCAAGUAUUUUGAGAGGAACAGUGAGAUGCUGGGAAGAUGCAAAUUAUGCCAGAGGUGCAGGCCUCUUCUGUCACUUCCUGAGAAUUGGCUUAGUUUCAUCCACAAAGACUCUGAUGGAGGGUCUGAAAUCCCACUUUUGAUCAGUCAAAGCAUGGCCUUUUACACAGAACAUUUCAUGAUGCCAACAGAUAGUUUCCAGAGAGGAACUGGGAAUUAAGUUGAGCUCUGGUUGCAGAUGAUUCUUUUUCAUGCCUAGCUACCCAAACAAAGAGAGCAAGCCAGAAGCCAAAUCUGCAAGUGAACAUACUCAAUGGAAUUGGUGCAUGGGAAUGUACAGGGCUCUGGCUGAUUAAACUGCUGCCAGAGCGCCAAGGGGCAAUUUCUCUAAGCCUCCCUGUCUUGUAUUUUGGCAGCUCUCUCUUCCCUGCCCCCUCCGUAUCCCCUUCCCCACAUCCUCAAAUCCAUUUGCACUGUUGUUUGGAAGAAUCCCAAUUCACACAGAUUGGCAACGCUGUAAUUGGUGUUUUACUUACCUCUGCCUCUUUUCUCUCUGUGUUUGAUCAUUCCGAUAAUGACAGCUUAUUUUCUCUCCCAUUACCAUUGGAAAACAAAAAGAAACUCUUGAAAAAGUUGUGGAGUUAUAUUUGAGUUUUCUGAUAUACUGCUAUGGAAAAUAAAA